AGGUGAACAGUGAGAAGGUUUAUAGCUGCCAGUAAGCGUGUGCAAUCACAGAAUGCACACGCGAAGAAGUUUGAACUUUCCUAGGGGGCUAACCCAGGAAAAGUGGCAAGCUUCUUAUUAUAAUUAAAUUAAAUAAUAUUAAAACACUGCUGAAUGCUGAAUCAGGUGCAUAACCUCGGCUUCGAAGUUCCAGCCCUGAAAGCAGAGUCUGUGCUGAUCCUUAAACCCAGGUAUGGCCCUGCGGCAGUACACACGUCUCAAGACCUCUGACAGUGCAGACUGCAGCUGCACCAAGUUUUGAAACUGUCCGUAUCUGUCCGGAGGAAACCAUACUUUAAGUCUCAGAGAUCGAGGCCGGUACCAGUGUAGUCAUCGGUACCGAUGUAAUGUCACAGGACCGCUGAGUGCCACGGCAAAUGCAAGUCUCCAUCCCUCUGAAAGCGUAGCCGCGGGCUACAACAAGGGUGGCGACCGUCUGGAAUUUGCCACAUGUGGGACUCAUGUCUAAAGACCUCUGAGACUGGUGAAAAGGUAUCAGAACACAGAACAUCUGAAUUUCUGAGGUGCUGGAACCAAGGUCCUUGGCCUGUGUUAUCUGUCUCAGUAACCAGUGGUAUACUAUUAAUUAAAUAAAUAGGUGAAGAUUUAUAAAACAGUUGAGAUAAGCCAGUGUAGAAGGUAAAAUUCCAAAAUGGCUUAUAACCAACCAAAAAAUGGACUUUGGCCUAUUAUAAAUAAAAUAAUCAUUAGCCUAGAGCUAAAUUAAGUUAUAUAGGCAUAGGUGUACCACCAUUCACCUUUCUUUAGAAAGCUCGCUUUCAAAAAAGUGUAGUGAAUUCUGGUGUACCCUAUUGUUUUCAUCUGGAUUUUUAUUCUGCCUGUCUUAACAGCACAAGGAUGAAAUCAGAGGAUUUUAACUAAUAAUAUUAACUAACGAUAUAUUAAUUAUUAAUGCAUGCCUGUACACGUCAUUUAGAAACUGUUAGAAUUAACUAACAGACUUGCUUGAGUGCCAAUUAAAUUAGCCAAGGCAUGUUAGAAACUAGAUAUCUAAUGAAUCUUUCUCAAACCAUUGAUAAGCCAGUCAAUGCCAUAAAUGAGCAUAAUGUCAUCAGACUUUAACUCAACUAAUAAGGGCCAGUAUCAUCUGUGCCUGCAAGGAAAAUUAUUUAAGGAAUAAUCUACCAAA